GACGUAGGGCGCGAGCGUUGUCCGGAAUUAUUGGGCGUAAAGAGCUCGUAGGCGGCUUGUUGCGUCGUCCGUGAAAUCCCGUGGCUCAACUGCGGGCUUGCGGACGAUACGGGCAGGCUAGAGUUCGGUAGGGGAGACUGGAAUUCCUGGUGUAGCGGUGAAAUGCGCAGAUAUCAGGAGGAACACCGGUGGCGAAGGCGGGUCUCUGGGCCGUAACUGACGCUGAGGAGCGAAAGCGUGGGGAGCGAACAGG
rnacentral:rRNA from 1 species